UGGGCCAGGAGCUGUUAGUGGUGUGAGUGAUUAUUAACCCCUGCUGUCUAACCAGAAAAGCAGCGGCAAGGGCGAAGUGCGGACACAGCUCGAUCGCCAAAACUCCUGCAACGCUCUUUCAUGUUCGACUUUGGGGCCACCCAUAAGCUCUGGUCCAAUUGUUCACUUCCACACAAUUGAACCAGAUUUCUUCUUUUGAGUGACAUGGAUGCUUUCGAGGGAAUUCACAGUGUUCGGAUUUCCCCCUCUCCGCCGCCGUCCGGUCGAGCCUAUGAAGUCCUGAAGGCAGGGAGGUCGGGAAUAGCAGUGUAUUCCUCUGCUGUGUUCUUUGGGACGCCAUCCGAGGCUGAGGAGAAGGGCUGUGUGGUAGGAAGGUUGGUAGAUCUGGAUCCCGAGCCAGAUCCCAGAUUGGAGGGAAGAGGCCAGGUUGGGCCCACACUGGAUAUAGACCAUGACGUCCAGUCCCGCCUGCGCAGCUCCUCCUUGGAAAUGCGAGAGAAAGAAAUUCGCGAAAAAGGCUCGGAGAUCCUCAGCGAACAGUUAGAUGCUGCAAAGAAGGAACUCAAACUAAAAGAUAAAGAAUGUGAGCGUCUGUCACAGGUCAGGAUUCAGUUGGAGCAAGAACUAGAGGAGCUCACCGCCAGUUUAUUUGAGGAGGCUCACAGGAUGGUACGCGAGGCAAACGUCAAACAAGCAGGAGCAGAGAAACAACUGAAGGAGGCUCAGGGAAAGAUUGACGUCCUUCAAGCUGAAGUGACGGUGCUCAAGUCUCUGGUGUUGACCUCCACUCCAUCCGCGCCCAACCGCCAACUGCAUCCUCAGCUGCAGCUCUCCAUCGGCGGAAACAAUCGCAACAAGAGUAUGAGCGGCGGAUUCCCGUCCCCACCUGGCAAACCGGAACCUCCGUCACUUCCCGUUCAGCCCGUGGUCAAAGAGGACCGAGAGAUGGACUCGGUCCUAUACGCAGAGUUCCUCAUGUGGAAAGAGCAUCCGAGUCUAGAUCGCUCAUCUGCGCUCAUGAGUCGCAUCUACAGAGAAGACAUCGGGCCCUGUCUCUCUUUUACGCGAUCUGAGCUGUCCCAGCUGGUGCAGAGCGCCGUCGAAAACAACUCUCUGACUAUCGAACCCGUGGCCAUGUCAGCGUUACCGAUAGUUAAAGCCUCGGCCAUCGAAUGUGGAGGACCUAAAAAAGACUGGACAGCAUGUUUCCAUUAUUCAAGCCGCGGUUCUUUGAACAGUCCCAAUUUCCCGGCAGAAAAUGUGCGCUAAGCGGCGUGUCGAGACAGUGCAGACAUCGCAUUAAACUCGGCGAUAAGGGCAACUACUACUAUAUUUCCCCCUCCAGCCGAGCACGGAUCACGGCCGUGUGCAACUUUUCUACAUAUAUCCGCUACAUCCAGCAAGGCUUGGUCAGGCAUAAUGCCGAGCAGAUGUUCUGGGAGGUGAUGCGACUACGAAGGGAAAUGAGUGUGGCCAAGUUGGGUUUUUUCCUCACAGAGCAGAGUUAGAUGACCAGAUUGACCAGCAUGAUAUGACACGUAUGGUUUACAAAGAGGUCAACCGAGAAAACAGUUAUACAAUAAAAGGCAAAGUACAAAAGUGCUUAUGAUCUUUCCAUGCUUAGUUUUUAAUCUUGUGCAUAAAGUCCCCCACAAUGUUAUUUGUCCAUACAAAUGCUUUUCAGUACAUUCAAUUGUACCUGAAGACUUAAGUAAAGUAUGAAAAAUAUUACAUACAUAAAGUGUAAAGUUUUACAAGCAUCUUUUAGGGACAGCUCAGCCAUAAGUGUUGGUAUCAAACGAGAUGUUAAGCUCUAAAAUCUAAAUUACGCAAAUGACGUUUUGCACAUCCAAAAUUAACACAAUGUAUGAGCCAUUGACAACAAUGCAUAAAUGUAGUCCAUAGCUAUGUUCUGUCAUUUUGCAUUGGUUAUUUUACCUCAUUAUGUAUUAUUAUAGUUUUUAUUUUGAACAGUCAACUGUAUUUUGAAGGUGACAAUGAAGAAAUAUGUAGGUGCAAUAAUCGCUUGUAUGGCAGUGAACUGCCAACACUCCAUUAAAGUUUGACUAUGCCGUA